CUAGCCUCUUCGCUCCCGCCUCGGGCUGACCUGCGGAGUGAGGUGUCCUGGGCCCCUGCGCAGAUCCGGAGUGACGGUGGCUCCUCUGUUCGCGGCGCCUCUCCCCCGAAUUGAAUCUAUAAUCCGUCAAGCCCCGGCUGCAAGUUCUGCCUCACCCCCCGCCCCACUCCGUCCCCCCUUUGGGCUUUUCAUUUUUUGACUCCUCUCCACUAUUUGGUUCCCCCCCUCCAGUUAAAGGGGAGGGGGGAGAGAGCCAAUUAAAUCGGCUGUGCUUGAAGACAGCCCUGCCUCCUGCCCAAUUCCCCGGCCUCCCCGAGGACAAAUUAGAGAAAAGAAAACAGGGCUGGGGGGGGGGGGGACCCCGCAUCUGCGCGGCUUUUUCCUCCUUUUCUUUCGCAUUCUUUCUCCUUUUUUUCCCUUCCCCCUGCAGAGAAAUGUCAGAAACCAGGCAAGGAUCCAUUCAUCCUGGGGACACACACGGCUUCGAGGCCCCGGGCAGAGGAGACGGGAGGAGCUGGUGGUGCACACGCUUGGUGCAAUGAGCGUGGGGAUGUGUGCGACACAGACAGCUUGGACCGUGUCCGUAGUGUAGCACUGGGGUCCCUGUAGAGCCUCGGUGGCAGCACUCCGCCUUUCUUGUCAACGUCUCUGCCUGGUUUCGCGGAAAGAAGGCGCUUCUCCUCCGCCCCAGUGAAUGAGAUGCUCCAGCUGUCCCCUCUGCUCCUAGGUGGUGGAGCAAAAGUCUUACUUCUGUUCAGUAGGUCAGGAAGCUUCUUUUCCCUCCAUGAACGCCAUGUGAAAGACAAACACCCGCCUCCCCCUUCACAUCCUUGUAGGGGGAGUAUUAAAUCAAAGUUGCUCCUAGAAUCAAAUCUAUUCCCACCCCAGUGUUGUUAAAAACGAUUGGUUCGGGGGCUGGAGGGAAGAUGGAGCCAGGAUGUAGGAGAAGCGGUUGCAAUAUUAAACAGGGAGGGCACAGGAGCUGCUGGGAGAGGAGUUCUGCUGAGUUUUGCUUCCAAUCGAAGCCAAAUCUGCCUCAUGAAAUAUCGAGCUCCCUGGCCCGAGUUCCCGUGGAAAGACGCCGCUCUUUAUUCCUCGCAACCAGCCUGUGCAGGAAGCAGAUUAGACAACGCGACUCAGGGUGGGGGAUGUGUUAGCAGGGAACCUGUGGGGGCUACUGCAAGUGCCCUGACGUUUUUCAGGAGAGAAACCCAUUCAUAUUAUUCUCACCGCGCACACGGCUGAGGUUUCGGAGGAGCUGUAUUCCAGAUAGUAGCAGACUGUAUCAGCUCUCUUUGCGGUGGGUUUGUAAACAUGCGAAGACGAAUCAGGAAUUCCAAGAUAUCUGGAUUAUUGGGGGAGGCAGGGAAGGGGAGGUUAGAGUUCCCGCCCCUCCCCCCCCGGUAUGUCUCGUUAUCCCUGCGUUAUCCUGUCACUGUUAUUUAUCUCUGCGUGUGGGCACGGCUUGGAUAGCCAUACCGGUAGGAUCUUUCAGGACUGGGAGAGGGGCGGUUAACUACACUCUAACAAGGGAGGGGAUUUAAGCCUCUCUGCGUGUCUCCAGCCUCUCCCCUUUCCCUUGGCGCAGGGAAUCAGCAAACGCCGAACGGAGGAUCCGCCAGCAAAGUUAUCCCUGGCAAGCCGAAAUAGGGGAGUUUCCAUUUUCUCGAGGUCUCUCGCGCAGCCGGCUGUUUCCUUCUAGAGCUGUAAAGCCAGAUCUCUAGAAACCUCUCUGAGUGGGUAUGAUUGUUCCGCUAGGAAUAUUUCCUAGGAGGAUCAUUCAACUCUCGAGCCCUAUUUAAAAAAAAAAAACAAAGUGACCCACUCAAGAGUCCGCCUGAAGGUAAGUUAUUUAGACAUAUCCAGUCUUCUCCAAGACAGGAGAUUUCCUAGUGCCUUGGCCCCAAAUAUGCUUCUAGACCAGCAUCAUCGGUGCUGUAGUUAUCCGCGAUUUUAGAAGACACUUUGUAAUAGAGCAUUAAGGAAAGUAGCUGCCUUUGCUAAUCACACACUUUUAUACAGUGAACCCCCGGCAGAGGUGUUACUCAGCCCUCUGUCCCUGGGAUCGCUGAUGGGAACCUGUGCCGCCGCCAGAUAGAGAGAGAAAAGGAAAAACUGCACUUGCAAAAGGCGCAGUGGCAGGGAUUGAUUCAUCGUGUGAACAAGAAUCAUACCCAGGGUUAAACACACACACACACGAAAGAAAGAGUGAUCGCCCAGAGAACGGCUGCUUACUAAUUCAUGCUCUGACAAAUAAGCAAUUAACAGAUAGAGUCGCUAAUUAGUAAGCAGGUAUUUCUAUUAUAAACUGUAUUCAACCAUGGAGAGGAGCAAUAAUGUACAGCAGCGACAAAGGUAGCACGAGCAGCCAGACUAGCUGGAUUAUAAGGACCAGUUUCCUAUUAAUGGGGCAGAGAAGGCUGAUAGGGUUUAUAAUAGGCCCAUAUUCUUCCCCCAAGCAGGAUCAGGAGUUUUGUAAAGAUGGGUUAAAGGAACACUCGUCAAGUACUUGUAGGUUUCAACCCUAUAGGUUUACGACAGCUUGGAGUGGAGGGGAUUCCAAACUUCCAUACAAGUAGAAAUGUCUUCUUGCCUUUUAAGAAGUUUCAAUAAACCCUGUUUUGGGAGGAAUUUAAAUCCAGCUGCUUGCACCCGGCUGCUUAAAGAGGGCCGCAUGAGACAGCUGCAGAGAGACCCAAAAAGUCAAAGUGAGCAACUUUGUAUGACAACUUCCACCUACUCUGUAUGUGUAUACAUUUUCUAACUAUAUGUUUCAUUCUAUGCAUCCGAUGAAGUGGGCUGUAGCCCAGGAAAGCUUAUGCUCUAAUAAAUGUGUUAGUCUCUAAGG